CACUGGUCGAGAGCUGUUGCCGCUCUCCUGACGAGUCUAAGAUAGGAUGAAACUAGUG
rnacentral:sRNA from 1 species